GAGAGAGCAAGAGAGAGUGCACAAGCAGGGAAAGCAGCAGGCAGAGGGAGAAGCAUGUUUCCCUACUGAGCAAAGAGCCUGAUGCCGGACUCUGGGAUCCUGGGAUCAUGACCAGAGCUGAAGGGCUCCUGCUCUGGCUGGCUGGCUCAAACCACAGUUUACCUUGGGCUGAGUCUAUCUGUAGUAUCAUGUUUCAAGGGAGACGCAUCUGUGCAGCUGAUGACUGCGGAAGCGUGGCCUUCCGCAAACCCGCACCGAGAGUCCACCAUGUACCUGGCCCGUGGGGCCAGCGGACAAGGGCCUGAUCCUUCUGACAACCCGUCCUUCAUUGCCGGUGUGGGGUUUCUCCAGUCCCUUUGAGAGCUCCUUGACUUUUUAAGGCAAUUGCCGGGUUGGCCUUUACUCCAGUCUUUUACCAUAACUCCAUUUCUAAAUCAAGACACACCAUGUGAUGAAGUUUGGGGAGUGUUCCUCACCAGGAAGUGAAAAAAUAAAACUGCA